rnacentral:rRNA from 1 species
GGUCGAGCAAGGAUGAAAAUCGGACUUAGUGAUCCGGUGGUUCUGCGUGGAAGGGCCAUCGCUCAACGGAUAAAAGCUACCCUGGGGAUAACAGGCUUAUCUCCCCCAAGAGUCCACAUCGACGGGGAGGUUUGGCACCUCGAUGUCGGCUCAUCACAUCCUGGGGCUGUAGUAGGUCCCAAGGGUUGGGCUGUUCGCCCAUUAAGGUGGUACGCGAGCUGUGUUCAGAACGUCGUGAGACAGUUCGGUCCCUAUCCGUCGCAGGCGUAGGAAAUUUGAGAAGACCUGUCCUUAGUACGAGAGGACCGGGAUGGACGUACCUCUGGUGUACCAGUUGUUCUGCCAAGGGCAUGGCUGGGUAGCUAUGUACGGAAUGGAUAAGCGCUGAAAGCAUCUAAGCGCGAAGCCAACUUCAAGAUAAAAUUUCCCACCGCAAGAGUAAGACCCAAGAAAGACUAACUGGUUGAUAGGUCGAAAGUGUAAGUGCAGCAAUGUAUUUAGCUUAUCGAUACUAAUAGGUCGAGGACUUGACCAAAUU